UACGAAGGGGGCUAGCGUUGCUCGGAAUGACUGGGCGUAAAGGGCGCGUAGGCGGUUCGUACAGUCAGACGUGAAAUUCCCGGGCUCAACCUGGGGGCUGCGUUUGAUACGUGCGGGCUUGAGUUCGGAAGAGGGUCGUGGAAUUCCCAGUGUAGAGGUGAAAUUCGUAGAUAUUGGGAAGAACACCGGUGGCGAAGGCGGCGAGCUGGUCCAUUACUGACGCUGAGGCGCGACAGCGUGGGGAGCAAACAGG
rnacentral:rRNA from 1 species